CCUACGGGCGGCAGCAGUGAGGAAUAUUGGUCAAUGGGCGCAAGCCUGAACCAGCCAAGUCGCGUGAAGGAUGACGGCCCUAUGGGUUGUAAACUUCUUUUAUAAGGGAGUAAAGUGAGUCACGUGUGCCUUUUUGUAUGUACUUUAUGAAUAAGGAUCGGCUAACUCCGUGCCAGCAGCCGCGGUAAUACGGAGGAUUCGAGCGUUAUCCGGAUUUAUUGGGUUUAAAGGGAGCGUAGGUGGGUGGUUAAGUCAGUUGUGAAAGCUUGAGGCUCAACCUGAAAAUUGCAAUUGAUACUGGCAGGCUUGAGUGCAGUUGAGGUAGGCGGAAUGCGUGGUGUAGCGGUGAAAUGCUUAGAGAUCACGAAGAACUCCGAUUGCGAAGGCAGCUUACUAAACUGCCACUGACAUUGAUGCACGAAAGCGUGGGGAUCAAACAGGAUUAGAUACCCGGGUAGUC
rnacentral:rRNA from 1 species